rnacentral:rRNA from 1 species
GGUUAAGUGACUAAGCGUACACGGUGGAUGCCUUGGCAGUCAGAGGCGAUGAAAGACGUAGUAACUUGCGAUAAGCCCAGAUUAGGUAGUAACAACCAUUUGAGUCUGGGAUUUCUGAAUGGGGAAACCCACGUGCAUAAGCACGUAUCCUUACCUGAAUACAUAGGGUAAGGAGGCGAACCGGGGGAACUGAAACAUCUAAGUACCCCGAGGAAAAGAAAUCAACCGAGAUUCCGAAAGUAGCGGCGAGCGAAAUUGGACUAGCCCUUAAGCUUUACACGCGUUAGACGAACGGUCUGGAAAGUCCGACGAUACAGGGUGAUAGUCCCGUAGUUGACGACGUGUGUUCAGUGAAAUCGAGUAGGGCGGGACACGUGAUAUCCUGUCUGAAUAUGGGGGGACCAUCCUCCAAGGCUAAAUACUACUGACUGACCGAUAGUGAACCAGUACCGUGAGGGAAAGGCGAAAAGAACCCCUGUGAGGGGAGUGAAAUAGAACCUGAAACCGUGUACGUACAAGCAGUAGGAGCAGGCUUUGUCCUGUGACUGCGUACCUUUUGUAUAAUGGGUCAGCGACUUAUAUUCAGUGGCAAGGUUAACCAUCUAGGGGAGCCGUAGGGAAACCGAGUCUUAACUGGGCGUUCAGUCUCUGGAUAUAGACCCGAAACCAGGUGAUCUAGCCAUGGGCAGGUUGAAGGUUGAGUAACAUCAACUGGAGGACCGAACCGACUAAUGUUGAAAAAUUAGCGGAUGACUUGUGGCUAGGGGUGAAAGGCCAAUCAAACCUGGAGAUAGCUGGUUCUCCCCGAAAGCUAUUUAGGUAGCGCCUCGGACGAAUACUACUGGGGGUAGAGCACUGUUAAGGCUAGGGGGUCAUCCCGACUUACCAACCCUUUGCAAACUCCGAAUACCAGUAAGUACUAUCCGGGAGACACACGGCGGGUGCUAACGUCCGUCGUGGAGAGGGAAACAACCCAGACCGCCAGCUAAGGUCCCAAAUUACUACUAAGUGGGAAACGAUGUGGGAAGGCUCAGACAGCCAGGAUGUUGGCUUAGAAGCAGCCAUCAUUUAAAGAAAGCGUAAUAGCUCACUGGUCGAGUCGGCCUGCGCGGAAGAUGUAACGGGGCUAAGUAGUAAACCGAAGCUGCGGCAAUGUGCUUUUGCACAUUGGGUAGGGGAGCGUUCUGUAAGCGGUUGAAGGUGUGUGGUAACGCAUGCUGGACGUAUCAGAAGUGCGAAUGCUGACAUGAGUAACGAUAAAGGGGGUGAAAAACCUCCUCGCCGGAAGACCAAGGGUUCCUGUCCAACGUUAAUCGGGGCAGGGUAAGUCGACCCCUAAGGCGAGGCCGAAAGGCGUAGUCGAUGGGAAACGGGUUAAUAUUCCCGUACUUCUUACAAUUGCGAUGGGGGGACGGAGAAGGCUAGGUGGGCCUGGCGACGGUUGUCCAGGUUCAAGUGCGUAGGCUUAAGA